UCCUGCCAUCCCGCAGCGGUCCAGCCUGCUCAGCAGGGCUCACUGUCUUUUCCCGCUCACUGUUCCUGGGUCACACCGAUGUACAAGCCACUUCAGGGAUUCCACCUCUGUUUGGAGAAAACUGGAUACAAUCUGACCAAAUAAGGAAAGAGAUCAAGAAAACUCGCAUCCUGAGAUGGUGAUGUGCCUCAUUAGAGAAAAGCACCUACCCUUUCUAUACAUGCCUGUGAACAUGCGUUCAUAGAACAAGUGAACAUGCUGACACGUGACAUCUUUGCAUUCUCUGCAGAACUAGGAGUAAACGGAGAACUGGCCAUUAACUACGUUUCCUGAAUACAAUGAAAGUGUGCAAGUCAGACACUGAGCCAACUACUGCUUCUGUACCUAAUGGGCCCCUUUGCUAUGGCUCACACAAGAGUUCUGCCAAUAAAAAUCCUUUCCCUUACUUCCCAGAGACAGCCUGAUGUGCAGUACACCACUCAUCACCGUUCGGUUGCGUCUGCCAAGGACUACAGCUGCUAGGCAGUCUGAGCUCAUCUAAAUCACCCUGUGAGUGCACGCAGCUCAGUGCUGACAGGAAAGGCACUGUGGAGAAGGCCCAGCAGGUUACUCUGUGGGUUCCAGCAUUCACCACAGCUUUGUCCUCAGCCUCUGCUCCUCAGUCAAGUGCCCCCAGCUGCGAUGAGCCACACUGCCAGGCAUUGCUGUCUGGGAGGAACCGUGAGGACAGGAGUCUCAACUGCUGUCAUCUUUCUGCCGCUAUAGCAGAUACCAGAGAUGAACAAUGAAAAGAUUAUCUUCUAAACUGAUACACAAAGUGGUAGGACGUUGAGGCAGAGAAAACCUAGUCACCCCAUGGAUGGGAAAUGAAAAAGACAAAGAAUGACUGUGCAUCAGUCUGGUCCUGGGACACAUCCUCCAUGACCGGAAGAGCUGACUCGAGGAUGGAGUAGCGAGUCCACCACUUUCCACUAGCGCCUGCUAGAGACCAAACAUACAGAACAAUGGAGUGCACGAGCAUUUGGAGACAUAGGAAGAGCCUCGGAAGCAACAUCUCUCAUGGUACUCAGUCUAGUCCUCCGAGAUGUUGACUGGGAAGCCUGGAAGGUGUCCUGAGAACCAGAGGAAGAGCAAAUAGCUUUGGCUCCUCCACUGGGGUCCGCAUUAUGUUAUUUCCACAGGUUGAAUCUUCCUGAGAGAGAAGGCUGCUAGAGAAAAUCAGGGCCACCUGCGUCCACGACUGUAUUUUGUGACUCCUAGAACCUUCUUCUUGUGGAGACGGAGUAUGGCCCAGAGAACAACUGCCCCAAAAGGAGUCUUUGCUGUUGGAUGUUUUUAAGGAAUUGCUUUAAUCCUAGCUACGGUCCUUCAUUCCUUUCUAUGUUUCUACUGCGGGCUGCCAGUUCUUCAAAUGGCCUGACUCCACCUGCAUUCUGCCCCGCAAUGGCCAACUUCAAUAGAAUUAACCGUCACAAACGGCAGUUUGUAACAUCUUCAUGAAGAGAUCCAUCCUGUUGCUUUUGAAUUUUGCUAGUUAUUUGUGUCUAUUUUCUGUACAAAAUUGAUCUAGACACAUAAAACUAGAUUAGUAAUACUGAUAUUGAUGUAUAUUUAAGGGGAUAGAUGUGGUUUUGCUAAAAUAAAAGAAACAAACAAACAAACAAACAAA